GGGGAUGUGGCUUAGUGGUAGAGAGGAUGCUUAGCAUAUGCAAGGCCCUGGGUUCAAUUCCCAGCACCACCA
rnacentral:tRNA from 1 species